rnacentral:rRNA from 1 species
GCCCUACGGGGUGCAGCAGGCGCGAAAACUUUACAAUGCUGGCAACAGCGAUAAGGGAACCUCGAGUGCCAGGUUACAAAUCUGGCUGUCGAGAUGCCUAAAAAGCAUUUCAUAGCAAGGGCCGGGCAAGACCGGCGCCAGCCGCCGCGGUAACACCGGCGGCUCGAGUGGUAACCGUUAUUAUUGGGUCUAAAGGGUCUGUAGCCGGCCGGAUAAGUCUCUUGAGAAAUCUGGCAGCUUAACUGUCAGGCUUUCAGGAGAUACUGUCUGGCUCGAGGCCGGGAGAGGUGAGAGGUACUUCAGGGGUAGGGGUGAAAUCUUGUAAUCCUUGAAGGACCACCAGUGGCGAAGGCGUCUCACCAGAACGGACUUGACGGCAAGGGACGAAAGCUAGGGGCACGAACCGGAUUAGAUACCCGGGUAGUCCUAGCCGUAAACGAUACUCGCUAGGUGUCGGCCACGGUGCGACCGUUGUCGGUGCCGUAGGGAAGCCGUGAAGCGAGCCACCUGGGAAGUACGGCCGCAAGGCUGAAACUUAAAGGAAUUGGCGGGGGAGCACCACAACGGGUGGAGCUUGCGGUUUAAUUGGAUUCAACGCCGGAAAUCUUAC